rnacentral:siRNA from 1 species
GUCUGGUCAACAAAAGUUGGUCA